rnacentral:rRNA from 1 species
CCUACGGGCGGCAGUAGUGAGGAAUAUUGGUCAAUGGACGAGAGUCUGAACCAGCCAAGUAGCGUGAAGGAUGACUGCCCUAUGGGUUGUAAACUUCUUUUAUAUGGGAAUAAAAUGUUCCACGUGUGGGAUUUUGUAUGUACCAUAUGAAUAAGGAUCGGCUAACUCCGUGCCAGCAGCCGCGGUAAUACGGAGGAUCCGAGCGUUAUCCGGAUUUAUUGGGUUUAAAGGGAGCGUAGGUGGAUUGUUAAGUCAGUUGUGAAAGUUUGCGGCUCAACCGUAAAAUUGCAGUUGAAACUGGCAGUCUUGAGUACAGUAGAGGUGGGCGGAAGUCGUGGUGUAGCGGUGAAAUGCUUAGAUAUCACGAAGAACUCCGAUUGCGAAGGCAGUUCACUGGACUGCAACUGACACUGAGGCUCGAAAGUGUGGGUAUCAAACAGGAUUAGAUACCCUGGUAGUC